AACGAACGCUGGCGGCAUGCCUAACACAUGCAAGUCGAACGAGACCUUCGGGUCUAGUGGCGCACGGGUGCGUAACGCGUGGGAACCUGCCCUUAGGUUCGGAAUAACUCCCCGAAAGGGGUGCUAAUACCGGAUAAUGUCUUCGGACCAAAGAUUUAUCGCCUUUGGAUGGGCCCGCGUUGGAUUAGCUAGUUGGUAGGGUAAAAGCCUACCAAGGCUACGAUCCAUAGCUGGGUUGAGAGGAUGGUCAGCCACACUGGGACUGAGACACGGCCCAGAAUACUACGGGAAGCAGCAGUGGGGAAUAUUGGACAGUGGGGGAAAGCCUGAUCCAGCAAGGCCGCGUGAGUGAUGAAGGCCUUAGGGUAGUAAAGCUCUUUUACCCGGGAUGAUAAUGACAGUACCGGGAGAAUAAGCUCCGGCUAACUCCGUG
rnacentral:rRNA from 1 species